rnacentral:rRNA from 1 species
GGACGAACGCUGGCGGUGUGCUUCACACAUGCAAGUCGAACGAGGUAGCAAUACCUAGUGGCGGACGGGUGAGUAACGCGUGGGAAUCUGCCUUUAGAUGGGGGAUAACGGGUCGAAAGACUCGCUAAUACCGCAUAUGACGAAAGUUGAAAGGAGUAAUCCGUCUAAAGAUGAGCCCGCGUCCGAUUAGCUAGUUGGUAGAGUAAAAGCCUACCAAGGCGACGAUCGGUAGCUGGUCUGAGAGGAUGAUCAGCCACAAUGGGACUGAGACACGGCCCAUACUCCUACGGGAGGCAGCAGUGGGAAUUUACGCAAUGGGCGAAAGCCUGACGUAGCGACACCGCGUGAGCGAAGAAGCCCCUUGGGGUGUAAAGCUCUGUCAGCUGGAACGAAGAAAAUGACGGUACCAGCAGAGGAAGCAUCGGCUAACUACGUG